GCAGGUUGAAGCGCGGGUAAGACCGCGUGGAGGACCGAACCCACCUGGGUUGAAAACCGGGGGGAUGACUUGGGGCUAGGGGUGAAAGGCCAAUCAAAUUCCGUGAUAGCUGGUUCUCUCCGAAAUGCAUUUGGGUGCAGCGUCGGGUCAUUACGUCCCGGGGGUAGAGCUACUGGAUGCUUGCGGGCCCGUAUCGGGUACCAACAGCAACCAAACUCCGAAUACCGGUGACGCGUAUCCCGGCAGUGAGUCGGCGGGGGAUAAGCUUCGUCGUCGAAAGGGAAACAGCCCAGACCGUCGUCUAAGGUCCCGAAGCGUGUGCUAAGUGGGAAAGGAUGUGGAGUCGCAUAGACAGCCAGGAGGUUGGCUCAGAAGCAGCCAUCCUUGAAAGAGUGCGUAACAGCUCACUGGUCUAGUGGUUCCGCGCCGACAAUGUAGCGGGGCUCAAGCACACCACCGAAGACGCGGCAGUAUUUUGUACUGGGUAGGAGAGCGUCCCAUGAGGGGCGAAGCGGCCGUGUGAACGCGCCGUGGACUUCAUGGGAGUGAGAAUGCAGACAUGAGUAGCGAGAGACGGGUGAAGAUCCCGUCCGCUGGAUGACCAAGGGUUCCAGGGCCACGUUCAUCGUCCCUGGGUGAGUCGGGUCCUAAGGCGAGGCCGACAGGCGUAGUCGAAUGGAUGAACGGGUCGAUAUUCCCGUACCGGCUUUCAGCCGCCAAAACCGAGGCUUGGAGUACUAACCUCCGGGUCCGGGCUUACUGCUCCUUCGGGGGCGGGAUGCCCUGGCCUGUUGGGACCGAUCCUUGUAGUAGGUCAGCGCAGGAGUGACGCAGAAGGGUAGCCGGCCGCGGAGGUGGUCUUCCGUGGUCAAGCACGCAGGGCGUGGGACAGGCAAAUCCGUCCCGCAUGGGUCCGAGGUGCGAUGAUGGGGGCCUUAUGGCCCGAUAUCCGGUGAUCCCGGCUGCCGAGAAAAGCUUCGGCGUCAGGCUCAAAGCCGCCCGUACCCCAAACCGACACUGGUGGUCAGGUAGAGAAUACCAAAGCGAUCGAGCGAAUCCUGGUCAAGGAACUCGGCAAAUCACUCCCGUUCCUUCGGUUUAAGGGAGACCCCCGAUGGUGAACACACUUGCUGUGGGAGCUUUUGGGGGUGGCACAGACCAGGGGGUAGCGACUGUUUACCAAAAACACAGGUGCAUGCGAAGGCGCAAGCCGCUGUAUAUGCACUGACGCCUGCCCGGUGCCGGAAGGUUAAGAGGAUCCGUCAGCCUUCGGGUGAAGCGGUGAAUUCAAGCCCCGGUAAACGGCGGUGGUAACUAUAACCAUCCUAAGGUAGCGAAAUUCCUUGUCGGGUAAGUUCCGACCUGCACGAAUGGCGUAACGACUUCCCCACUGUCUCGACCAGGAGCUCGGCGAAAUUGCAGUACGAGUAAAGAUGCUCGUUAAGCGCAGAAGGACGAAAAGACCCCGGGACCUUUACUAUACCUUGGUAUUGGCAUUCGGUGUGGAUUGUGUAGCAUAGGCGGGAGGCCGAGAGGCGCGGUCGCCAGAUCGCGCGGAGCCGUAAGGUGAAAUACCGCUCUGUUCGCAUUGGAUGUCUAACCUCGAACAGUCAUCCUGUUCAGGGACAGUGCCUGGCGGGUAGUUUAACUGGGGCGGUUGCCUCCCAAAGAGUAACGGAGGCGCCCAAAGGUCCGCUCAGCCCGGUUGGCAAUCGGGUGGCGAGUGCAAGUGCACAAGCGGGCUUGACUGCGAGGACGACGGUCCGAGCAGGGACGAAAGUCGGGACUAGUGAUCCGGUGCCGGUGUACGGACGCGGCAUCGCUCAACGGAUAAAAGGUACCCCGGGGAUAACAGGCUGAUCAUUCCCAAGAGUCCAUAUCGACGGGAUGGUUUGGCACCUCGAUGUCGGCUCGUCGCAUCCUGGGGCUGGAGCAGGUCCCAAGGGUUCGGCUGUUCGCCGAUUAAAGCGGCACGCGAGCUGGGUUCAGAACGUCGUGAGACAGUUUGGUCUCUAUCCUCUGCGCUCGUUGGAAUGCUGAGGAGGCCUGCCCAUAGUACGAGAGGACCUGGGUGGACGAACCUCUGGUAUGCCGGUUGUC
rnacentral:rRNA from 1 species